CCGGCGAGUUACGAUUUGAUGCAAGGUUAAGCAGUAAAUGUGGAGCCGUAGCGAAAGCGAGUCUGAAUAGGGCGUUUAGUAUUUGGUCGUAGACCCGAAACCAGGUGAUCUACCCUUGGUCAGGUUGAAGUUCAGGUAACACUGAAUGGAGGACCGAACCGACUUACGUUGAAAAGUGAGCGGAUGAACUGAGGGUAGCGGAGAAAUUCCAAUCGAACCUGGAGAUAGCUGGUUCUCUCCGAAAUAGCUUUAGGGCUAGCCUCAAGUGAUGAUUAUUGGAGGUAGAGCACUGUUUGGACGAGGGGCCCCUCUCGGGUUACCGAAUUCAGACAAACUCCGAAUGCCAAUUAAUUUAACUUGGGAGUCAGAACAUGGGUGAUAAGGUCCGUGUUCGAAAGGGAAACAGCCCAGACCACCAGCUAAGGUCCCAAAAUAUAUGUUAAGUGGAAAAGGAUGUGGCGUUGCCCAGACAACUAGGAUGUUGGCUUAGAAGCAGCCAUCAUUUAAAGAGUGCGUAAUAGCUCACUAGUCGAGUGACACUGCGCCGAAAAUGUACCGGGGCUAAACAUAUUACCGAAGCUGUGGAUUGUCCUUUGGACAAUGGUAGGAGAGCGUUCUAAGGGCGUUGAAGCAUGAUCGUAAGGACAUGUGGAGCGCUUAGAAGUGAGAAUGCCGGUGUGAGUAGCGAAAGACGGGUGAGAAUCCCGUCCACCGAUUGACUAAGGUUUCCAGAGGAAGGCUCGUCCGCUCUGGGUUAGUCGGGUCCUAAGCUGAGGCCGACAGGCGUAGGCGAUGGAUAACAGGUUGAUAUUCCUGUACCACCUAUAAUCGUUUUAAUCGAUGGGGGGACGCAGUAGGAUAGGCGAAGCGUGCGAUUGGAUUGCACGUCUAAGCAGUAAGGCUGAGUAUUAGGCAAAUCCGGUACUCGUUAAGGCUGAGCUGUGAUGGGGAGAAGACAUUGUGUCUUCGAGUCGUUGAUUUCACACUGCCGAGAAAAGCCUCUAGAUAGAAAAUAGGUGCCCGUACCGCAAACCGACACAGGUAGUCAAGAUGAGAAUUCUAAGGUGAGCGAGCGAACUCUCGUUAAGGAACUCGGCAAAAUGACCCCGUAACUUCGGGAGAAGGGGUGCUCUUUAGGGUUAACGCCCAGAAGAGCCGCAGUGAAUAGGCCCAAGCGACUGUUUAUCAAAAACACAGGUCUCUGCUAAACCGUAAGGUGAUGUAUAGGGGCUGACGCCUGCCCGGUGCUGGAAGGUUAAGAGGAGUGGUUAGCUUCUGCGAAGCUACGAAUCGAAGCCCCAGUAAACGGCGGCCGUAACUAUAACGGUCCUAAGGUAGCGAAAUUCCUUGUCGGGUAAGUUCCGACCCGCACGAAAGGCGUAACGAUUUGGGCACUGUCUCAACGAGAGACUCGGUGAAAUCAUAGUACCUGUGAAGAUGCAGGUUACCCGCGACAGGACGGAAAGACCCCGUGGAGCUUUACUGUAGCCUGAUAUUGAAAUUCGGCACAGCUUGUACAGGAUAGGUAGGAGCCUUUGAAACGUGAGCGCUAGCUUACGUGGAGGCGCUGGUGGGAUACUACCCUAGCUGUGUUGGCUUUCUAACCCGCACCACUUAUCGUGGUGGGAGACAGUGUCAGGCGGGCAGUUUGACUGGGGCGGUCGCCUCCUAAAAGGUAACGGAGGCGCUCAAAGGUUCCCUCAGAAUGGUUGGAAAUCAUUCAUAGAGUGUAAAGGCAUAAGGGAGCUUGACUGCGAGACCUACAAGUCGAGCAGGGUCGAAAGACGGACUUAGUGAUCCGGUGGUUCCGCAUGGAAGGGCCAUCGCUCAACGGAUAAAAGCUACCCCGGGGAUAACAGGCUUAUCUCCCCCAAGAGUUCACAUCGACGGGGAGGUUUGGCACCUCGAUGUCGGCUCAUCGCAUCCUGGGGCUGUAGUCGGUCCCAAGGGUUGGGCUGUUCGCCCAUUAAAGCGGUACGCGAGCUGGGUUCAGAACGUCGUGAGACAGUUCGGUCCCUAUCCGUCGUGGGCGUAGGAAAUUUGAGAGGAGCUGUCCUUAGUACGAGAGGACCGGGAUGGACAUACCUCUGGUGUACCAGUUGUCGUGCCAACGGCAUAGCUGGGUAGCUAUGUGUGGACGGGAUAAGUGCUGAAAGCAUCUAAGCAUGAAGCCCCCCUCAAGAUGAGAUUUCCCAACUUCGGUUAUAAGAUCCCUCAAAGAUGAUGAGGUUAAUAGGUUCGAGGUGGAAGCAUGGUGACAUGUGGAGCUGACGAAUACUAAUCGAUCGAAGACUUAAUCAA
rnacentral:rRNA from 1 species